GAGGGUAUAGCUCAGUGGUAGAGUGAGUGCCUAGCAUGGGUUCGAUCCCCAGUACCUCCA
rnacentral:tRNA from 1 species